rnacentral:rRNA from 1 species
GAUAGUUGGUGGGGUAACGGCCUACCAAGUCGACGAUCAGUAGCCGGACUGAGAGGUUGAACGGCCACAUUGGGACUGAGACACGGCCCAGACUCCUACGGGAGGCAGCAGUGGGGAAUAUUGCACAAUGGGCGAAAGCCUGAUGCAGCAACGCCGCGUGAAGGAAGACGGUUUUCGGAUUGUAAACUUCUGUUCUUAGUGAAGAAUAAUGACGGUAACUAAGGAGCAAGCCACGGCUAACUACGUGCCAGCAGCCGCGGUAAUACGUAGGUGGCAAGCGUUGUCCGGAAUUACUGGGUGUAAAGGGAGCGUAGGCGGGAAGCCAAGUCAGCUGUGAAAACUACGGGCUUAACCUGUAGACUGCAGUUGAAACUGGCUUUCUUGAGUGAAGUAGAGGUUGGCGGAAUUCCGAGUGUAGCGGUGAAAUGCGUAGAUAUUCGGAGGAACACCGGUGGCGAAGGCGGCCAACUGGGCUUUAACUGACGCUGAGGCUCGAAAGUGUGGGGAGCAAACAGGAUUAGAUACCCUGGUAGUCCACACUGUAAACGAUGAUAACUAGGUGUGGGGGGUCUGACCCCUUCC